rnacentral:rRNA from 1 species
UACGUAGGGGGCGAGCGUUGCCCGGAUUCACUGGGCGUAAAGCGGGUGUAGGCGGUCUCUUAAGUCGGAUGUGAAAUCCUGCGGCCUAACCGCGGAACUGCAUCCGAUACUGGGAGACUUGAGGACGGUAGAGGUCGGUGGAAUUCCCGGUGUACCGGUGAAAUGGACAGAUAUCGGGAGGAACACCAGUGGCGAAGGCGGCCGACUGGGCCGAUCCUGACGCUGAGACCCGAAAGCCAGGGUAGCGAACCGG